CAGAGAUGAGAAGGGAUAACAUUCCAGGCAUAGGGGACAGCCAGAGAAAAGGCAGGAAACUGAAAGAUGGAGAGUCUUGUUCCUGGGAUGGCAAGAAGACCAGUAUGACUGAAUCAAAAAAUGUGCUCUAACUUUACCAUGGGACGUGGAGUCAAGAAGAAACUUGGGUUCAAAUCUACCUCCCAUGCACACCAUGUGAUAACAGGCUUUGUGUCCUUAAAUAUUCAUACAUCUCUGAACCUACUGAUUCAUGCUGCAUUUGACAGGAAGUGGAAAUAUCAAAAUAAAGAAGGUUCAUCUUAUGGCGUUUGCUGGCUUAACUGAAUGCAGGAAGUACUGGAAAUCUUGCAAGACUGUCUGUUCCUUCAAGAUGUCUAGCCUGGUUUUCAGAGUAAAAAAAAAUGUUUUAAGUUUUUGAUGAGUAUCUAAAAUCAGCUUUUUUUUUUCAGUUUGACUGUCACUGGAGGUCUGCAUGAGAUCCUGCUUUAGGCUCAUUCAAAGCUUUCGACACAAGUCACACAAAGUUUCUUGUUUUCACACUUUUUGUCUAUAUGGGUUUAAUACACUGUAGUGGAAUCAUUACAUCCAAACUUCAAAUGGUUUAAAAGGAAAACCAGAGAGACAUUUAA